rnacentral:rRNA from 1 species
GCCAGUAGCUAGCUUUUUGCAAUGCUCACAUGCUCGCCCACUGAAGCUAAGCCAGGGUGCGCCCGGUCAGAACCUGGAUGGGAGACCACAUGGGAAAGAUAGGUUGCUGCCGGAA